CCUACGGGCGGCAGCAGUGGGGAAUAUUGGACAAUGGGGGGAACCCUGAUCCAGCCAUGCCGCGUAUGUGAAGAAGGCCCUCGGGUUGUAAAGCACUUUCAGUGAGGAAGAACGCCUGGUGGUUAAUACCCAUCAGGAAAGACAUCACUCACAGAAGAAGCACCGGCUAACUCCGUGCCAGCAGCCGCGGUAAUACGGAGGGUGCGAGCGUUAAUCGGAAUUACUGGGCGUAAAGCGCGCGUAGGUGGCUUGAUAAGCCGGUUGUGAAAGCCCCGGGCUCAACCUGGGAACGGCAUCCGGAACUGUCAAGCUAGGGUGCAGGAGAGGAAGGUAGAAUUCCCGGUGUAGCGGUGAAAUGCGUAGAGAUCGGGAGGAAUACCAGUGGCGAAGGCGGCCUUCUGGACUGACACUGACACUGAGGUGCGAAAGCGUGGGUAGCAAACAGGAUUAGAUACCCCUGUAGUC
rnacentral:rRNA from 1 species